rnacentral:lncRNA from 1 species
UCUUACUACGAGCUGAAGCAGACAUAUGAAAAAAUCGAGUAUUCAAGUCACCCUCUUGAAGCCAAUGCAUCUUGGCUCGCUGCUUCCAGUACCCCUCCUCCUGAACCAGUAAAGUAGCAUGCUUAUUAGAGCAUUCCUGAAACCUCCUACUCUCUACCUCCCCCUGAUUAUCCCUCAACGCCUCCAUCUCACGGACACAUUCUUCAAUCUCCUGUUUAAACUUCACUCUUUUCCUUUUGCCCCA